AAUGAACGCUGGCGGCAGGCCUAACACAUGCAAGUCGAACGGAUCCUUCGGGAUUAGUGGCGGACGGGUGAGUAACGCGUGGGAACAUACCCUUUGGUACGGAAUAGCCUCGGGAAACUGGGAGUAAUACCGUAUGUGGUCGAGAGACGAAAGAUUUAUCGCCAAAGGAUUGGCCCGCGUUGGAUUAGGUAGUUGGUGGGGUAAUGGCCUACCAAGCCGACGAUCCAUAGCUGGUUUGAGAGGAUGAUCAGCCACACUGGGACUGAGACACGGCCGAGACUCCGACGGGAGGCAGCAGUGGGGAAUCUUAGACAAAGGGGGAAACCCGAAUCUAGCCAUGCCGCGUGAUCGAUGAGGGCCUUAGGGUUGUAAGUAUCUUUCAGGUGGAAAGAUACUGACUGUACCACCAGAAGAAGCCCCGGCUAACUCCGUGCCAGCAGCCGCCGUAACAC
rnacentral:rRNA from 1 species